rnacentral:lncRNA from 1 species
GUCCAACUUUCCUUCUGAAUCAUCCUCGCAUACCUCCUCGUUUAUAGAUCACAACAACCAGCACAAGCACCAUAAAAGAAACCUAAAAACAAUACAUCAAGCAUUAUGAAACAAGACUUUAAGGUUUUAAACAUGUAGGUCUGCAACUACAAACGUUUGAGCGCACAAACAACUAAGCAAAACUACUAUAACAGGGUAUGAAGGAUCAAAGGUAGAAGUUAGAGGGUUCGGUAAAUGAUAGGAAUGGAAUAAACAUGAUGGACAUGACUAACUUGAAAUAUUUAUACAACUUAAGGAUUUAUAAGUGAGAGGUACAUGAUUAUAGAAGUGUAUACAAGAUGGAUAUGAUUUUAGGGAGAAUGAAGUAAACAUACAAAGAUUGGCAAGGAGGAAACAUAUACAUGAUAGUGACUACGCAAGAGUGAGAUGGUAUAAUAGACAAGAAUGUUUAUUUCUAGCCAUAGAACAUGAAGACCUCAAAACAAUGGUAGUGGUUGGCAAUGAUCGAAUUUGCCAACAGCGAGGAUAUGAUGGUUAGAUGGCAAAAAGUGAGGAUGAACCCAUAGCUUAGGUUCGGCAACCUACUUUAGGAUAUGAUGAUGAUCAUUUGGAUUUGUGAAAUGGAUACUUUGGAACAUAUUUAGACAAGUGGCUGCAGCAGUGUGAAUGCUACAUAAAAGGGUAAUGCGUUUAUGGUGAUUUGCGCACCGGUUGAGCAUACCCCGUGGCGCAUGGACAAUGGUGGUUAGUGGCAGAUGUGACCAUAAAAAAGCAAGGCCUCACUGAACCUCUAGGCUUGAAAUAUGGUAGGAUGAUGUGCAACUAAGAAACACUCAUCCUUACGAGAGGGCUCAGUGAUUGAUAUAGUGGUUUAACAAGGAACAUGGCGAAACAUCGAUGCAUCCAAGACAUGCACGUUGGCAGACAGCGAUGGUUUUGAUGAGUGGUUGCAUGGUUAUAACAGAACCUGAAUAGUGAUGAAUUUUGUGAUGUUGUUGGGGAAUAUAUUGAGUAUGCUACUGCAAAAGAACAUGAUGUUUCAACCUUUCGUUUGCCGGGAAACAAGAAUACAAAGCGAGUCACAUAACUGUUUUCUGGACAAUAGGGAAGACAAAUAUAGAGACACCAAUAUCUCGGCCAUCGUGGCACCUAUGGUCAAACCAGCUUGCAAAGGCGUGUGCAUAUUCACGAUACACAUGUGGGUAAAUUGAUUUGUUAAACGGAGUAACAGAUUUUUGGCAACACGCGCAUCAACUGACUGCACCGCGGCUGCGGGGCAGCAGGGACAGCGAGCACAAGAAAAAUGAUAUUUCUUUUAUCUUGAAUCCUAUUGCCAUGAAAUUUCUCAGGGGCAUGUGCAAGGAUAUGAAACAAAUUGUGGUUGAAGAACACAAUCACUGGAGUGAUGAAACAUCGGGAAUAUGCAUGCCAAACAACAGCUGCACGGUUGCAUGGCUGCAGGAACAGCAAGCACAAGAACAAGUAUAUCUCCUUCAUCUUGAAUUAUCUGGUCAUGAAAUUUUACUGAGACGUGUGCCACUGAAUGAUCAACAUCAUGUUCAAAGAUCUCUAUGACCGAAGGGCGGGAACUCUAGGAAUGUGCAUGCCAAAUUGGCAGCAGCGCUGCUGUCCGCAAAAGGCAAAGACAUGAUUGUUAUGAAACAUCGCCGGAAUUUGACCAUGCACAAAUUAUGGCACAUGUUCUACAAUGAAAAACAUAUUAAAAAUAUGAAGAACAUGGUGGUCGUCACAUCGGGGUUAGCUGCAGCUAGAGAUGAAGUUGACGGUGGCUGACAUCGAUGAUGGGUGUUGACGGGGACUGCGAUCAACGGGACAGCACCGAUUGCGCUCCAUAGAUAAUAUAUGCCACAUGAAAGAUCAAAGGCACGGAUGAGAUGGACAAGAACAGUAAGAUCAGAGAAUGGAGAGGAAGGGGCGUCCUCACCAUGGAAGUGAACAUAUGAUCUGUACAAGACGUCGAUGGUGGCCUGCAUGGCUGCAUUUAUUUGGGGUUGAUGCUAUGGUAAACAACCAUCUAGGUUGCCGUGGUUGAAUCAAUUGGAAGAUGAUGUGCACCAAGAUGAAAUCCACACAAAGGUGCAGCACCAUGAUAUGGCCUGGAUAAGGAUGCAACAACCAUGGAGAUUACCGGCAGAAUGUCAACAACCGGGCUGCGGUCUUUGAUUUGAGACCUUCCUGUGUUACCAGACAGAGAUUCAGAGAGGGAUGAGUGAUGAACAAGGUGCUGCUCAGAGACAUAGGGAGAAAGGAGAGACUUUACCACAGGUGAGAUCAAAGGUUGUGAUCCUCAUACAUAGCUUGCUUCAUCUUGAAGAUGAUCACUGCAGCAGCAAGACAGAAUUGUAGACACAUUUUUCUUUCUGUUUUGAUGGAGAGGAGGGAGAGGAAGUUGGAGCUGCAGACAUGGGGAAGGAAGAGGAACAGAGGGAGCUCGCCCCUUCUGUUUCUUGAUGUGAAUAGGAGGAGGGGGCAGCGCUGGUUUCUGAUGGGAGAAAAAUAAAGGAGAGACAAGGCUGCUUCUAUUGCCAUCAAAGGUGUAAUAGAAAUAUUAAGAGAGAGGUGCAUGCAGGGUUAUUAAGGGGAGGGGAAUAAUUGUGGCUGUUUUGCAUGCAAGGAAGUGAAGCAGGCGGCAUAGGGGAGAAGAGAGACCAUGGAGAUGGUGCCCAUAUGCGUGAUGGAGGGAGGGAGGAGAUGAGGGUGCUGCUUCUCUGGUGGUGGCGUGAGGGAGAGAGGAGAAGGCAGAUAUAGCUGCCAUUUGUUGCAUGGAUGCAUGCAAUUGAAGUGUGAUUAAAUGGAG